UAUUGGACAAUGGGGGCAACCCUGAUCCAGCCAUGCCGCGUGUGUGAAGAAGGCCUUUUGGUUGUAAAGCACUUUAAGCAGUGAAGAAGACUCUCUGGUUAAUACCCAUAGACGAUGACAUUAGCUGCAGAAUAAGCACCGGCUAACUCUGUGCCAGUAGCCGCGGUAAUACAGAGGGUGCAAGCGUUAAUCGGAAUUACUGGGCGUAAAGCGAGCGUAGGUGGCUUAAUAAGUCAGAUGUGAAAUCCCCGGGGUUAACCUGGGAACUGCGUCUGAUACUGUUGGGCUAGAGUAGGUGAGAGGGAAGUAGAAUUUCAGAUGUAGCGGUGAGAUGCGUAGAGAUCUGAAGGAAUACCGAUGGCGAAGGCAGCCUCCUGGCAUCAUACUGACACUGAGGUUCGAAAGCGUGGGUAGCAAACAG
rnacentral:rRNA from 1 species